GUGGGGAAUAUUGGACAAUGGGCGAAAGCCUGAUCCAGCCAUGCCGCGUGUGUGAAGAAGGUCUUCGGAUUGUAAAGCACUUUAAGUUGGGAGGAAGGGCAGUAAGUUAAUACCUUGCUGUUUUGACGUUACCGACAGAAUAAGCACCGGCUAACUUCGUGCCAGCAGCCGCGGUAAUACGAAGGGUGCAAGCGUUAAUCGGAAUUACUGGGCGUAAAGCGCGCGUAGGUGGUUUUGUAAGUUGGAGGUGAAAUCCCCGGGCUCAACCUGGGAACUGCCUCCAAAACUGCAUGACUAGAGUACGGUAGAGGGUAAUGGAAUUUCCUGUGUAGCGGUGAAAUGCGUAGAUAUAGGAAGGAACACCAGUGGCGAAGGCGACUACCUGGACUGAUACUGACACUGAGGUGCGAAAGCGUGGGGAGCAAGCAGGAUUAGAUACCCGGGUAGUCC
rnacentral:rRNA from 1 species